UACGGAGGGAGCAAGCGUUACUCGGAAUUAUUGGGCGUAAAGGGCGCGUAGGCGUUCCUGCAAGUCAACUGUGAAAUCCCACGGCCUAACCGUGGAAUGGCAGCUGAUACUGUAGGGAUAGAGUUCCGGAGAGGAAGACGGAAUUCCCGGUGUAGCGGUGAAAUGCGCAGAUAUCGGGAGGAACACCAGAGGCGAAGGCGGUCUUCUGGACGGAUACUGACGUUGAGGCGCGAAAGCUAGGGGAGCAAACAGG
rnacentral:misc_RNA from 1 species